rnacentral:lncRNA from 1 species
CCAUUUGCCCUUCUUGUUUCGUUGAUGUGCAAAUCCCUGGUUAAAGAUCAACUUCCGAGAUCUAAAACUAAAAUAGUGCCAGCUAGGGAAAGCCUAUCAAGAAUGGAAGAGCUUAGGAGAAGGAGAAAAAAAGAAGUCUGCUAUAGCUAAAUCCCCAAUCAUUAUUUUGAUGUUAGCAGUCUUGAUAUGACAUUUCACUGCCAGAGUCAGCUUUCCAGUACCUGUAGGGCUUUUGCCACAAGGAUGGCUAAGCUUGCCCCAGGGCAGGAGUGGUAUGAGGCAAGAAAGAAAAGUGCCAUUUCCACCAACUCUUUACAAUAGAUUUUUCUCUUCAUCAGAUAAGCUGAAGCAGACCAAUUAGUACCACAGGAGAUUAAAGUACCAAAAUAAGACAGAUAUAAACAGGACCCACAACUCAUCGUCUGGUUUUGAAGAGUUCGCUAUCUCCGAAGAAGUUGUGUUCUUUCUGUAGAAACCUUCAUUUUUGAGCUCGUAGGGA